UUGGUAGGUAUUAUUAGAACAGAUGCCUACAGUGACGGGGCCCCUGACGAAUCGUGUGACUCAAUGGAUCCGUCGUCUGGUCACGUUGCACAUCCACAAACCACGCCGUCACCAUAUGCUGUUACAUUAACGGCUGAUCAUUAUGAACCGGGAACUCCCGUUGAAGUAAAACUGGAGUCAAAAUCAGGAUUGAACAUAACCGGCUUUCUUCUAGAAGCAAGAAGGGCAGAUCCAAGCAAAAAUACAGAUGAACUUAUUGGAAAGUUUGAUCCAAUAAUCAAUACCCAACAAGUCUGUAAUACACAUGCCUUAACACAUAAGAACGGCAAACUGCGGUUACCUGUAGUGCUUAAAUGGAACCCACCGCCGUCACCCGCUGGGCAUAUCCAAUUCAGGGCAACAUUUGUAUUUAAACAAAAGACCUUUUGGAUUAACGUGCUGUCUGAUGUUGUUAUGGAUAAUUCGUCUAAGCCAUUCACUAUUGAAACUUCAACCCCUGCUGUUUCUGGUUUAACUGAUUUGACUUCACAAGCUCCAGCUCCAACAAC